rnacentral:rRNA from 1 species
UACCAGCACCCCGAGUGGUCGGGACGUUUUAUUGGGCCUAAAGCAUCCGUAGCCGGUUCUACAAGUCUUCCGUUAAAUCCACCUGCUUAACAGAUGGGCUGCGGAAAUACUAUAGAGCUAGGAGGCGGGAGAGGCAAGCGGUACUCGAUGGGUAGGGUAAAUCCGUUGAUCCAUUGAAGACCACCAGUGGCGAAGGCGGCUUGCCAG